UCCACAGGGGGAAACGUGUCAAAGGGAAGGCCUUCAGGUAUUGUUUUGGCAAGCUAGGAGAACACAUCUGACAGACAAAAAGGUUUCAUCAAAGACACACAGACAGCUCCUGAAGUAAAGGACCUACACAGGACCUUCAUAUCAAGGACAUUGACUGUGUGGAUCUCGAGGUGCAGUUACCCAAAAGUUGCUACCCACGGAAUACCAGGUUUUGAGGGAUCCUGCCAGAGCAGAGAAUCAACAGAUACAUUGAAGAGGAGACUCCGACAUGACCGCCGGCAUCUUGUGUUAUUCACCCCCACCACUUGUAAUACUGAAUGCCUGAAUUGUUGUUUGCUGCUCAGACUUUGUCAACAGAUAUGGUCUUCGACAUGUUACCCUUAGGUGUGGAAACAGAUUGUGACAGUCCAGCAAAAUGAGCCAGACAGAUAGUAACACUGAAAAAGGACAACGUUGUUCCCAUGGCCUCCCACUGCAGAAGACUACAGACGUUCAGUGAAGCACAAACAGCUGUUCCUCUUGUACUUAAUAAUUUAGUCAGCUGGAUUCUAGGUGCCACUAAGGAGCCAACAGUGGAUAAUUUUGUCAACAUUUCAAUGGCAUACAUUAAAAGGGCAGCCUGUAAUUGUUUGCCUUGCCUCCAUCUUCCUUGCCACCAAGGGGUUGUAGACUGAUGCCCUAGUCCUCCUGUUUAGGUACAACCAUGCAGUUAGGCCAGUCUAUUGAAGCAUAUACUUAUGACUGUUUGUAUGUGUUGUGUAUCUAGUAAUGGAUAAAUUACCACAUGAAUAACUGCAUAUUCAUUAUAUUGAUAAUUAUAAUGGCUUCCAUUAUUGAUUAAAAAGGGAUCUACCACCACUUGCAUUAUUGUUUUGUUAUAAAUGAAGCACUGUUAGGAAUCCAGGAAGACGGAUGCCGAGGCACUCAAGGUUGCAUUUUUUUAAAAACUUUAUUUGGCUACAAUGCCUCAGCAUCUGUCUUCCUGGACCAAGUUUGACAGCCCCUACACUGAUGAGCACCAAGGAAAAAAGGUGAAGACCCAGAAGCACUCCAAUUACCUGCUUGUGUUUGAUAAUGUUAGGAUCCAUUUAUCCCACUUUAAAUGCAUGAAUAUCACUGAAAAUUGGAAUUGUUUCCAUUUAUUUUUUUUAUUUUUUUUAAAUGUAUAUAUCAUGAAAGGUAACUUGCAUUGCCUUUUGAAGCACAGUUUAACAGUUGGACCACUUUGUAUAGCCUAUAUGAACGAUCAUUAUUGAUCUUGGAUAUUAUUGAUAUUGUAGGCCUAUUUCUAUUUGGGCUCAUGUCUUUGCCUUUGGCACCCUCAUGCAUUAUUGUUCUUCAAGAUAGAAAUUAAUCACGGUCAUUCUUAACUGUUAAGAAUCAAUCUGUCUUCCUUAGAGAUAUAUAUAUUAUAAAAACCUUAGUUUAGUACAAUUUGUGGAACGCAAGAGGACUGAUAGCUGUCCAAAUCGGCAACGUGAUUGGUUUAGCGCGGUCACGUGGUGUAUCGUGUCUCCUCAUUCAGCUAAGGAAAUAUUCCUUCUGUAAACGUCUAUACCCUUGGAUGUUUUCACGAUCCGAACCUCUCUGAAGUGAAACAUAGUGUAGCGUUUGGUAGCCAGGGAACACACAGGAUGUAGACAGAAGUGUCCGUUUAAUGGAGACAGUUGGCCACAGCCACGCCACAUAAAAAUCAUGAACAAGUAGGCCUACACUGCUUACCAGUAACCCAACUGUAGCACAGCUGCUACGUAGAUCUCUCACAGUAAACAGAGAGAACUCCCCGCUCCCCUUAUUCGAACCCCAACAGUGCCUCGCACCCACCAAACCAUAGAACAGAAUCAUAGAACCGAUGCGUACACAACUUAAGUAACCCCCCAGACUCGCUACAAUAGUUUUGGUCAGUUCAUCAUCUUAUGGGCAUCGUGUUCGGAUGCUGUGGAGCGAGAAUGAACGAAAAUUGAGGUGACCUGACGGCCUAUAAAUACGGAAGAUCUCUUUCAAGUAUGUUUAACACCGUGGGCUUCCUCGAUGCAUGCGAGACGUUCGCUGAAACCGACAAAGCUGAAGUUGAACUUUGGAACAGUUUUGUAUAGUGUUGUAGUACACCGGCAACUCGCAUGUCUUUUUGGCAAAAGCGACAACUAGUCCGACUCCAUCUCAAAACGUUAAAGUUAUCCACGGUCCUGCUCACAGCUUCACUACUUCCCUUGUUUACAGUCCCCUCUCCACCACAGCUGUCUGUCGCGCUUACUACGUCACAGUCAGUUGCGCUGAUUGGUCAGAGCGUUGGCCUAUUAGCACAGACAUGGUUUGAAAGACAACGGGUUGUGCUCAUCAACAAUGUUCCGUUUUAUCCAUUCAUCAGAGCCAGACUAAAUUAAGGCAUCCAAUACAUUUA